AUAGUUUAGCAUGUCAUCCAAAACAUGAGAAAAACGUCAUAGUUUUGUAUGCCGUCCAAAACGUGACUAAAACGUCAUAGUUUAGUAUGUUGUCAAAAAUUCACAAAAAACAUCAUAGUUUAGUAUGUCAUCCAACAUGUGACAAAAAUGUCAUAGUUUAGCAUGUCGUCCAAAACGUGACUAAAACGUCAUAGUUUAGUAUGUCGUCCAACAUGUGACAAAAACGUCAUAGUUUAGUAUGUCGUCCAAAACGUGACUAAAACGUCAUAGUUUAGUAUGUCGUCCAAAACGUGACUAAAACGUCAUAGUUUAGUAUGUCGUCCAAAACGUGACUAAAACGUCAUAGUUUAGUAUGUCGUCCAACAUGUGACAAAAACGUCAUAGUUUAGUAUGUCGUCCAAAACGUGACAAAAAACGUCAUAGUUUAGUAUGUCGUCCAAAACGUGACAAAAACAUCAUCAUAGUUUAAUAUGUCGUCCAAAAUGUGACGAAAAUGUCGUAGUUCAGUAUGUCAUGACAAAAAGUCGCAAAAAACGUUAUGUUUAUGUCGUCCAAAAAAACGUCAGCUUAGUAUGUCGUUCGAAAAGUCAUAAAAAAACGUCAUAGUUUCGUAUGUCAUCCAUUGUUGACCUGAAUCACAGGACAUAGGACUGAAAACUACACUUCCCAGAAUGCACCAGUAGCAGAAAAGCGGCGCUGAUCAAUGAUCACUGAUCUAGAGCCAUGACCAUAAGUUUGGACACAGCAUGACUUACUAUGUCUGUUUUGAUGUCUAUUACAGAACAUAGCUAAUAUUUUUUGACAGCACCAGUUUAAUUAGUCAACAAAUCAACAAGGGAUAUAAUAUUAUCAAUAAAUUCCAACAAUUGGAACAACUUUGUUCCCAAAACAUAAUAUUAGAAGAAAAUAACAAAAAAAUGCAGUACUUUCACAACCGAAUUUGGUAAGAAUAACAAAAUGACACCAAACUCUUUUGAUGUUUUUUUUAAAAUAUGAAACUUAAUAUAGUUCUCAGGAGUUGUGUACUGUAUUGUAAGUGACAAUUUUGUGGUAUUUUCUAAGAUUCACAAGCGUCAUGGUACUUGUGUCCAAACUUAUGGCCAUGGCUGUAGAGCUGCUCCUGGGAAGGACUGGGGGGAAGCUGUCACCACUGAUUCAAAGCACCUGGGAAGGACUUAAGGGAGCUCAGUCAUUCAAACAACCUUCAGAGGAGAAAGAAGCAAGGAAAAGAACAAAGGAGAUCCAAGUCCACUCAUGGAUUCAGCCUAAAGACGCCAAUGAGGGCGUCGUCAAGGUAACCUGCGUGUGUCUCCAACCGUGUCCACCUGUCCUGCUCCAGAGGGCGGAGCCAUACCUGCAACAGCCAAUCAGGAGAAAGCUUUCACCAAAACUGCAACACACCUACAUGAUGCCCUGUCAGCCAAUGGGAGAAAGAGAAACAUAGCUCGCCAUGGCGCCAGGUAGGGGUGAUCUGGACGGCCAAUCGAGCACCACGGAUGCUCCUUUGCCCCGCCUUGAGUUCAGGAACGGACAGGGUUGUUAACCGUUUCCCAGUCCAGAUCUCCAUCUCCGUCCGACAUCCAGCCACAAACUCCGCCAUCGAAGGAACAGCGAAGAACUCCGACAUCUGCAAGAAAACGGCACAAAUCUGGGUUUUGG